UCUCAGGUGGCUCAGCUGGUAAAGAAUCUGCCUGCAAUGUAGAAGACCUGGGUUCGAUCACUGGCUUGGGAA
rnacentral:tRNA from 1 species